rnacentral:misc_RNA from 1 species
UUUAAUGUAUGUUACAUCAGAACUUUUGACCGGGUAGACCGAUUUCGACAAAUUUUGUUUUAAUCGAAAGGUGGUGUGUGCCAAUUGGUCCCAUUUAAAUUUAUUUGAGAUCUAACAACUACUUUUCGAGUUAUAUCUAAUAAUGUGUUUUUACUUGACGCUUUUUUCGUCGACCUACGUUGUAUUAUACCGCAUAACUUUCUACUGGAUGUACCGAUCUUGAUAAUUCUUUUUUUGUUGGAAAGGGGAUAUCUCUAGUUUGGUACCGUGAUAAGGAAACCAGGAUCUGAUGAUGGGAUCCCAGAGGAAUCGAGGGAAACUCUCGAAAAUCCGUAAUAACUUUUUACUGGGUGUACCGAUUUUGAUAAUUUUUAAUUUAAUCGAAAGCUGAUAUUUAUCAUGUGGUCACAUAUAAAUUUUAUCGAGAUCUGAUAACUACUUUUUGAGUAAUCUUUGAUAACGCGUG